GAUGAACGCUGGCGGCGUGCCUAAUACAUGCAAGUCGAGCGAACGGACGAGAAGCUUGCUUCUCUGAUGUUAGCGGCGGACGGGUGAGUAACACGUGGAUAACCUACCUAUAAGACUGGGAUAACUUCGGGAAACCGUAGCUAAUACCGGAUAAUAUUUUGAACCGCAUGGUUCAAAAGUGAAAGACGGUCUUGCUGUCACUUAUAGAUGGAUCCGCGCUGCAUUAUCUAGUUGGAAGGUAACGGCUUACCAAGGCAACGAUGCAUAGCCGACCUGAGAGGGUGAUCGGCCACACUGGAACUGAGACACGGUCCAGACUCCUACGGGAGGCAGCAGUAGGGAAUCUUCCGCAAUGGGCGAAAGCCUGACGGAGCAACGCCGCGUGAGUGAUGAAGGUCUUCGGAUCGUAAAACUCUGUUAUUAGGGAAGAACAUAUGUGUAAGUAACUGUGCACAUCUUGACGGUACCUAAUCAGAAAGCCACGGCUAACUACGUG
rnacentral:rRNA from 1 species